ensembl:misc_RNA
CCCUCAAGAUGGCUGUGCCUGUCAGCUAGCUGCAUGGAGCUUCGUUCGAGUAUUUUCUGAGCCUGAUGGAUUUACAGUGAUCUUCGAUCGUCUGAGGAA